GACGAACGCUGGCGGCGUGCUUAACACAUGCAAGUCGAACGGAAAGGCCCUGCUUUUGUGGGGUGCUCGAGUGGCGAACGGGUGAGUAACACGUGAGUAACCUGCCCUUGACUUUGGGAUAACUUCAGGAAACUGGGGCUAAUACCGGAUAGGAGCUCCUGCUGCAUGGUGGGGGUUGGAAAGUUUCGGCGGUUGGGGAUGGACUCGCGGCUUAUCAGCUUGUUGGUGGGGUAGUGGCUUACCAAGGCUUUGACGGGUAGCCGGCCUGAGGGGGUGACCGGCCACAUUGGGACUGAGAUACGGCCCAGACUCCUACGGGAGGCAGCAGUGGGGAAUAUUGCACAAUCGGCGGAAGCCUGAUGCAGCAACGCCGCGUGCGGGAUGACGGCCUUCGGGUUGUAAACCGCUUUCGCCUGUGACGAAGCGUGAGUGACGGUAAUGGGUAAAGAAGCACCGGCUAACUACGUG
rnacentral:rRNA from 1 species